CUAAGCUAUCCAAACACCCUCGAAAAAAAGAAACACAGAAGAUCGCUCCAGCCGUUCUCCUUCUUCGUUCUCAGCUCUCUUCUCGUCGAUCGCCGACUCCAGCCGCUCGCCGGUUGCCACAGCCCCUCGCCGGUCGCCGCUGCUGCUUCCCGGUGCUCGUUCUUUGCUGCCAUUGUCAGUAUAGGAUAGAUUCAAAGCCUGGGAAUCUUCUGGGGUUACAAUCAUCACAGUGUUGCCCAGCCUGCUGAUAGCUGUGCUGGUGAAUUAGGGUAUGUACCGGCAGCUUUUGCAAGAGCUAAACAGCUCUAUGCACUAGAGUCAAUCGGGGCUGUGCUUUGUGGUCAAAAACAGAUGGCUGAGGAAGUUACUUCUAUUCUUGUUGACAAUGGUGUAGCUAAUGAGAAGAUUUUGAAAAACUUUUGAGGUUCAAAAUCCAAAAUGGUGGAUUGUUGUAUACUUUAGUUAUAAUUUAUUUCAAGCGUCUCAGUUUGGAAUCAUGGAAUAACAUCAGUUUUUUUAGAUGUAAAUGUACAAUUUUACCCUCAUAGAAGCUGCUCCACAUGUUGGAAACUAGGUGAUACCGAAGGGCAAGAAGAAGACUGUGUACUCUAUAUAUUUAUUUACUCGGUAUCAAAAUUUAAUGGUCCAAAUUCUGAUGUGGAUCUUAGCCAUUUCUCAAAGCGAGUAGAAAUCUGGUUAGUUUUAUAUAUACUGAUACAUGAUUCUAUAUUCCAAAAGUCAUCGCCACACUUUUUAUUCGUGAUUUAUAACGUGUGGUAUGCCUAUGAAGAAGUUAUUCGUAGCUAAAAUCAAACGCCAUAGUAUUCUAUCUGUAUUACUUGUUACAGAUUCGAUCUAUUUUGAUGACAGUGAGGAUGAAAUGUUCCCUGAUUCUGUGCCUAUAAAUUGUUACUGUCCGGCUUUUUGCUGCAGGCGGUUUUAAUUCAUAUGGCUAGAUUCGAUGAUAUAAUUCCUUACUCAUCUGAGUCUUCUAAUUUGUUCAUCGUUUACAAUUGUUCACUUGUUUGUUGUGGGAAUUAAUUAGCUUUGAUUUAAAAGCAGAAAACAGUAAUUUUUGACAGAAUGGAAGAUGAUGAAAUAUAGCAGGUACUUAAGAGGUAUUCAUAGCUUAAGAUGUUCUCCUGGUGCAGCCAUUGUAGUUGUGCCGAGCUUCUAAAGUUAUGCCAUAUGAUUAUACAUCAAUUGCUUGCUGAUUCCUUCUGUCAAUCUAGCAUAAGGCUUAAUCAUGUUUUUAAUCGUUAUAUGGCAAAAACAAAAGACCUAUAUCAAAUUCUAUAAUGUUGAAAAUAAACUUUCAUAUUGGUGCCUUUUGUUUUUCUGUUUCAGAUUUCUUUACCACAUUAUAGUUUAAUAUAAACAAAUAGUUUCUUAUUGGGCUUAUACACCGCAAAAGAGCUCGUGGAAUUUCACUGUUCACCUGCGAUUUUGCGGACGGAAUUCUAUAAAACGAUUUUUUUCCCUCAUUUUCACUUUUCAAUAUAGAAAAACUCUCUCUCUCGGGGAUUCCUUUUGACAGUUUCUUGAAUAAAAUAGACGAUUACUUCAACAAUCUCGAAAAUAUGCAUAAUUAUAAUAAUUUCGAUGUGAAAGCUAUUGUAAACUUAAAGGGAUCAGAGUGUAACAUAUGAGAAGUUUUUGAAGUGUUACAUGGUGUGAGACGUGAUAUAUUUAGAGAUACAGUAUUUGAUUAUUUGUUGGACGUCCCUCGUUUACAAGGGGAUGAAUUGUUGUUACACAAAAUAUUCCUUUAUCAGAUACGGCCGGACGCUAUUUUAUCUCCAGAUGGGAUAAAACGGCUAUAUUUUAGAGUAGGCGAUACGAAAAUGGUAUAUGGGUCGGAAGAGUUUUGUUUAAUAACCGGGUUGAAAUUUGCGGAGUAUCCAAAAAACAUCGGGAAAAAAGUGUCAGAAAAAAUAGUUAGUAGUAAAAAAAAAUGUUUAUUGUGUGAGCGAUUAUUUCUGAACUAUACAAAUAGUUCGGUGAAAAUCGGUGACCUAAAAAGUUUUAUUUUAAAUCAACCAUUCUUAGAAGUUGACGAUGCCGAUGCAGUUAGAGUAUGUUUGAUUUACAUUUUAUGUGAAGGUUUUUUGGGAAAAGAAAUAAAUGAUCACGUGCCACAAGAUUGGUUUUUUUUGGCUGAGAAUUUGGAUGUUUGGAACAUGUAUUUUUUGUUUACUUUGAAAGUUUUAUAUUAUUAAUGUUAAUUUAUAUUAUAACUAUUUUUUUUUGUUAGUUUCGCUUGGGAUAGCUAUUUAUGAGAUUUUGAUGACCUUGAGGAUACAUGAAACAAGAUAAAUAAAUAUUUAUCACUUCCUGAGCGUCGUCAAACUUUAAAAUACACUGUCUCAGGAUUUACGGCUCCAAUUAGGGUAUAAAAUAUUACUUAUAUUUAAAAGGUUUUAUUGUUAUGUUAGUUAUUUUAAUUUUAACUUUUAUUACUAUAAUUGUAAAAAUUGUAGAUAUGGAUAUAUGAGAUUCUUCCGGGUGUUCGUGCCUGUGGAUUUGUAUUGAGAAAAAAUAGAAACAUGCCUCGGAUGAAACGAUGGAGUGGGAUAAAAAAAUUAAAAUGGGCUGAUGUGAACAAGUUUUUUUCAAAGAUACAUGUUUAUAAAUUUUUUUAAUUAUUAAUAAAAUUCAUUAUUAUAUUUUUAUAUGCAUUUUUAAUAUGUUCAAUUUUUUAGGAGGGACAACCAUCAAGAAAUAAAAUGUCACCGAGUGAUGAUGAGAUGACAUUUUUUUAUUAUGUCAUUUUAAGAGUAUAUAUAUGGUAAACGGAAAUCAGUUCCAUCCCCAGUACGCAACCAUUUUAGGAGACAAGACGAAUCUUCGUCUAGUAUGUCGUCUAAGUGGUUGCUCUCAUAGUAAAGGUGGGCGCAGUGGAAAACCCAACCUAGAGGAGGUGUUGAAAUGGCUCCAUGCACUGGAGCAACAUGUGUUUACGAACCAAGAACCUACAGAGGUGUUUGUUGAAGAAGUGAAUAAUGAAGAUCUAUGGAAUAACAUCAGUUUUGAGGAGCCUGCAGUAUUCCAAACAAAAUUUGAUGAACGGGUUACUUACACGCUACAUUUUUUUUAAUUUAUUAACAUAUAUUAAUAUUUGUGUUCAUAUUUUAUAUUUGCAAAUUUAGGUUGUAGAAGAUGAAGUGAUGAAUAAAAAUAAUACAAAUGAAAAUAUUUUUGGUGAUAUUGAAGACGACAAGGUUAUUAUAGAUAUUACAUUUACGAUUUUAAUAAUUAAUUUUUAAUGUUUCUUUCGUUAAUAACUAUAAUGUGUUAAUUUUAAUGUAGGAGUUGGAGGAGAGGAAUGAGAAUGCGGGUUGUAGUAGGAACAAAUUUGAUGAUGAUGUGUUUAAUGUAAAUGAUAAUGAAGCUAAAGAGGUGUCGGAGGAAGAUGAAAUACAAAUUACGGGAACUGUAAAUUAUUAUGAUGCUUAUGUUUUUGAUGGCAAAGAAGUUAUACCCGAUAGACCGAGGGUUCGAAAUCCAUCAAAGUAUUUGUGCCCUCCGUACACCGAGCUGCACACAACACCGAAGCAAAAAAGAAGAGCAAAAAGGAAGGUUGAUAUGAAAUCAACAAGCCCCGUUCCUCCUCCAGCAUCUGUUGUUGCUCACGACUUCUCCGUGUUGUGCCUGCAACCUUACGUAGCAGGCGGUGAGGUUGUGAUCCAAAAUUAUUUAUUUCAUUCAUAUGACAUGCAACAUCGUUUGUUUAAUUUGGUGUUAGAUAGAGAAUUUUGGAGCGCCUUGUGUGGGCAUACACACGACGGAUGGUUGGAGUCAGCGGAAAAAUAAUACUUAAUUUGUUUUUUUAAAAGUAUUUUCUUUUUUAGUUAAUAACAAAAGUAUCAUAAUUUUGUGCAUCAUAUCACCCUUUGGUAUAGACUACUGAUGGAGAGAUGUUUUGAUAGCGACCAACAUACAAUAAUGCCGCCAAAUUUUUUUUUGUUUGCCAUGCUCUGGAGGAAGGGCAGGAUUGGAGGGCGUUUAUGGCUGGUAUUGCUAAAUACCCCAACUUCAUGGUUGCUUGAUGGGAUGUCGAUACGGUAAACUAAAUUUUAUUUUUUAAAAAUAUUAUCGUUAUUGUCAUUAUGUUUUUGUAUUCUUAUUUCUAAACAAAAUUUAUUUCUUUUUUAUCCUUAUACAGGUUCUAUUUCCGAUUCAUUCAGCCCCUAAUCACUGGUUAUUUAGGGAACUACGAUUGCGAAUAUGGAAGUCCAUAUUUAUGACAGUCUCGGUAGAGGGGCUUAUGAAAAAUUCAACUCUAAUGGAACCUUUAUUUGAAGCUAUGGUGGCCGGUUGUUUAGACAAGAUUAACUAUUGGGCCCGGAGGAACAUCCCAAUGAUUCCAUUGAAUAUGCAAUUCAUAUUCGAAACAAAUGUUCCCCAACAAAGUAGCCAUUUGGGAGAUUGCGGUGUUUUUGUUUGUAUGUUUAUGGAACAAUUAGUUUCAGGCCAACCAAUACGUGAACUUAUUGACCCAAGGAACGCAGCUUUAGAGUUUCGCCAACGAAUGACAAAAAUUUAUUGGGGGUCGAGUCUUGGUCCUAUGUAGUUGGAUUAUAUAUUUGUAUAUAUAAUUGUAUGUUGGAUUUAAUGACCUAGUAUUAACUUAAAUAAUUACAACAUAAGAACGACACCACCAUUUGUUUGAAAGUAACAAGUACACUGCUCUAAACAUAACAACAAAUACAACAAUUUAUUGAUGUAACAACCUAAAAACUAUCAAAACAAUACUAAAAAGCUUACAACUUGUAAAUAAUAAUUGCUAUAGAUGGAGACCUAUCAGAUAUAAUUGUAAGCUCCUGCAUAUUUCCUAUGCAAUCAUGUAGUUUUUGAAAAAACCAUGUCCAAGAACCGGUACACUCAUUUUUGCAUAUACCAUAUGCAACCGGUAAUAUUUGGUUUUGUCCGUCCUUAGUAACUGCAAGUAACAUGGUACCUUUGAACUCACCCUUUAGGUGGGCUCCAUCUACUACUAGGGUCGGUUUACAAAAUUUGACAAAAGCGCGUACCUACAAAUACAUUGUAUAUCUAUU